rnacentral:rRNA from 1 species
CAGUAGCCGCGGGAAUACGUAGGGUGCAAGCGUUAAUCGGAAUUACUGGGCGUAAAGCGUGCGCAGGCGGUUCUAUAAGACAGAUGUGAAAUCCCCGGGCUCAACCUGGGAACUGCAUUUGUGACUGUAGAGCUGGAGUGCGGCAGAGGGGGAUGGAAUUCCGCGUGUAGCAGUGAAAUGCGUAGAUAUGCGGAGGAACACCGAUGGCGAAGGCAAUCCCCUGGGCCUGCACUGACGCUCAUGCACGAAAGCGUGGGGAGCAAACAGGAUUAGAUACCCGCGUAGUCCCUGUCUCUUAUAC